UCAACAAAGACCCCAGAGCACUGAUCAUC
rnacentral:piRNA from 1 species